rnacentral:rRNA from 1 species
CAUUAUCGAGUUUACGACUCCCAAACCCACUGUGAACAUACCUAUUGUUGCUUCGGCGGGAUCGCCCCGGUGCCGAUGUGCUCCGGAUCCAGGCGCCCGCCGGAGGCCCCAAACCUCUGUUUUGCAGCUGUGGCAUUUCUGAGUGGCGCAAGCAAAUAAAUCAAAACUUUCAACAACGGAUCUCUUGGUUCUGGCAUCGAUGAAGAACGCAGCGAAAUGCGAUAAGUAAUGUGAAUUGCAGAAUUCAGUGAAUCAUCGAAUCUUUGAACGCACAUUGCGCCCGCUAGUAUUCUGGCGGGCAUGCCUGUUCGAGCGUCAUUUCAACCCUCAAGCCCCCGCGGUUUGGUGUUGGGGACCGGCCGCCGCACUCCGCGGCGCCUGCCGGCCCCGAAAUAUAGUGGCGGUCACGCUGUAGCCUCCUCUGCGUAGUAGUACACCUCGCACUGGAACGCGGCGCGGCCACGCCGUUAAACCCCCACUUCUGAAGGUUGACCUCGGAUCAGGUAGGAAUACCCGCUGAACUUAA